rnacentral:rRNA from 1 species
AUACGGGGGAUGCGAGCGUUAUCCGGAUUCAUUGGGUUUAAAGGGUGCGUAGGCGGCUUUUUAAGUCAGUGGUGAAAUCUUGCCGCUUAACGGUAAAAUUGCCAUUGAUACUGAUAAGCUUGAGUACAAUUGAGGUAAGCGGAAUGUGUAGUGUAGCGGUGAAAUGCUUAGAUAUUACACAGAACACCGAUUGCGAAGGCAGCUUACUAAAGUGUCACUGACGCUGAUGCACGAAAGCGUGGGGAGC